rnacentral:rRNA from 1 species
CAGUCGCCGCGGGAAUACGUAGGUGGCAAGCGUUGUCCGGAAUUAUUGGGCGUAAAGGGCUCGCAGGCGGUUUCUUAAGUCUGAUGUGAAAGCCCCCGGCUCAACCGGGGAGGGUCAUUGGAGACUGGGAAACUUGAGUGCAGAAGAGGAGAGUGGAAUUCCACGUGUAGCGGUGAAAUGCGUAGAGAUGUGGAGGAACACCAGUGGCGAAGGCGACUCUCUGGUCUGUAACUGACGCUGAGGAGCGAAAGCGUGGGGAGCGAACAGGAUUAGAUACCCCAGUAGUCCCUGUCUCUUAUAC